UUAUAUUUAUACCUAUAAUAUAAUCAAAAUUAUUGAUUUGUAACGAUGACAAACGAAUUUAUUAACAAGGUCAUCAUUAUUAAUUGAGUUAAGUGCCAGGACAACAUUGGGUUACCGAAGAUGGAUGUCCUAUAAUGGGCCCUGAAGAACUGUUAUAAAAUAGCUAACGCAUGACAAGAUUUAAUUUGAGAAUUUUAAGGAUGAUAUUAUGGUUGCUGUUUGCAUUGCGUGAGAAAUAUCUUCUACACGAUAACAGCACAACUCGCAAAGAAGAAAUGGAACAUUAUAACUAUGUUAUUAUACGUUUAGUAGGUAUUUAACGGGUCCCCAGUUUAAAAAUGAGUAAAAUUUAUUUAGUAGUAAGAUAAUUAUUUGUUCAUACUGUUAAGAUAAUUGAUUACAUAUUAAUAAGUAACUACUUAGUAAUAAAAUUGUUGCUUAUUUAUAAUUUAAUUGUAGAAAACAACAAGAGAUGUAAAUUGUGAAAUUUAGUAACAUGUUGGUUCUCAUUGUUGUAAUUCUACAAUUUUUGAAUUUGUUUACUUUUGUUCAUAAUUAUUCUGCAUACAGACUAAUAAUAUUUACUUGUUUAGUGAAAUAAAGUUCUUUUUCUUA